rnacentral:lncRNA from 1 species
GUUUAGGUGUCAGCAAGGGAACUCUUGGCCUCCACAUACUCUAGUGCUGCUGUCUUAACAGCCAUGACAGUUUCUGUUGUACCAUAUUUCUUUUCAUAAUCCAGGUAGCGCUUAAAGAAGAAUUUCAUCUUCUUUGGUGCUAAGUUCAGGUGUAUGACCCUCUCAAAGAUGUCCCGUAUUUCCUUCUGGCUGCCCUGUUUGAUCAUGAUGUCCAUGUAGAUAGACCAUAUGUCUGUUCGCUUCGGGUAGCUGUUAAGAGUGCUUUCAAACAGGGCCUUGGCAUGUUCUGGGUCA